UACGUAGGGGGCAAGCGUUAUCCGGAUUUACUGGGUGUAAAGGGAGCGUAGACGGAUGGAUAAGUCUGAAGUGAAAGCCCGCGGCUCAACUGCGGGACUGCUUUGGAAACUGUGCAUCUUGAGUACGGGAGGGGCAGGCGGAAUUCCUGGUGUAACGGUGAAAUGCGUAGAUAUCAGGAGGAACACCGGCGGCGAAGGCGGCCUGCUGGACCGAAACUGACGUUGAGGCUCGAAAGCGUGGGGAGCAAACAGG
rnacentral:rRNA from 1 species